rnacentral:lncRNA from 10 species
UAUAGAUGUUUGAUAUUUAAGAGAGAGAUCUGGGCUGUCUUAAAAGUUUUGAAUCGGCCGGGCACGGUGGCUCAAGCCUGUAAUCCCAGCACUUUGGGAGGCCGAGGCAGGUGGAUCACUCGAGGUCAGGAGUUCGAGACCAGCCUGACCAAUAUGGUGAAAUCCUGUCUCUACUAAAAAUACAAAAAUUAGCCGGGUGUGGUGGCGGGUGCCUGUAGUCCUAGCUAUUCGGGAGGUUGAGACAGGAGAAUUGCUUGAACCCGGGAGGCGGCAGUUGCAGUGAGCCAAGAUCAUGCCACUGCACUCCAGCCUGGGCGACAGAGUGAGACUCCGUCUCAAAAAAAAAAAAAAAAAAAAAAGUUGUGAAUCAUCAGCAAGUAUCACAAUUGAAACUGUGAGAUCACCAAGUGCAUGAGUGUGGAUAGAGAAGGGGACCAAGGACUCACCCAUCGAUGGAGCACUCCCAAGUGAAGAGAUAGGAGAGAAAGGAAGUAGCUGGUGAGAUAGGGUAGAAAACAAGAAAGCGUUAGUGUGCUGGAAGCCAAGGGGGAGAUGUGGAUCCAGCAUGGAGUGAUAAAAUUUGUAACAAAUUUCUGAUACUCCAAGUAAAUUAGGACUUGCAAUUAACAAUUCGAUUUUGUGGAGAUGAAUGAUGACCUUUUCAUGUACAGUUUAGUAGACUAGUGGGGUGUGCCGGGAGGGACGGAAAGUCCUGACUAGGGUGGGUUGAGAAGAGCAAGAAGUGCCUGACAUCUGGGAACUAAUCUAACACAAGUAAGCCUCAAUGCUAUUACAGAUUGAUAUGACGCUUUCGGCAAACUAUGCUUUUCUUCUGUUUUUCACAUAACAUACACUUCAGACAAGUUGGUUACUGUCCAACUCAAAACACCAAACCUCCCUCUUGCUAAACGAGUGACUUACUUUAUCAGUUUCACCUUUAUCCCUCCUUUAGUCUGCCAUCCUUAUAGAUAAGAUUUCAGAUCCUAGAAUUGCCCUGGUUUUCUGAGAGCACCCAAUUCAGAACCCCUACUUACUUAGACCCUCCCCCAAAUUACCCAACAAAAGCCAAGAUCCUAUAAUCACCAUCUUACUGAAUCACCCCACACUUCUCCCUUGUUGCCAUGAGUAAUAAACUAAACGUAUUUGACAACAGGUGUGGGGGUUUUCUGGUUUUUUUUGUUUGUUGUUUUGUUUUGUUUUGGUCUAUGGCUGAAGGG